UUCAAAAUAAUAAACCUACAAUAAAGAAUUUCGACUUCUAAUAAUUUUAAGG
rnacentral:tRNA from 1 species